rnacentral:tRNA from 1 species
CUCGUUAGCUCAGUUGGUAGAGCAAUUGACUUUUAAUCAAUGGGUCACUGGUUCGAG